ACCUUCUUUUAUUUGGUGUUUUCUACAUUUUAAAUCCUACUCAUUCUGCUUAGUUUUUGUUCUAUUUGGGUUUUGUAGUUCAAAGCCGAUUUGGGGAUUUUGAAAUGGUGGACGCUGGGCCCAGUUACACCACUUCAGUGGAACCAUGCAGGAUGAUAUCAUAGUGGAUCCAGUGGAGUCUCCAGAGAUUGUUGAUGAUCCAUUCCAAACUAUGUGAGUUUUCAAGUUGAAAAGUGGGAGUAUAGCUCAAAGAAAAACCCUUGAUUGAAUAAAUUACUGAAGAGCCAAUUUAACAUCAGCAGAUAUGAGGGAAUCUGAUUUCAGUAGUUCAACUUUCAAUGGUGCAUACAUGGAGAAAGCUGUCACAUAUAAGGCAAACUUUGAGGGAAGAGCAUGGUGGCAUGUGCUUUGGGUGGGAGUUUGUACUGCAGGGGAAGCCGUCGUACAUUCUUGAAGCAGAACAUUGUGCAGAGAACAUUCGGAGGAUUGGAACCAUGGGUUAAGAAAAUGGGUCCAAAUUCAGAGCUGCGUUCUUCUUCCCUCAAAAUAAGAAGAAAACACUUCCUCAGCACCAUAUUUUGGUACCUCAAGUAUAUUUGUGUUCUAAAGCCUUCUGCUUCUUUCAGUUUCUUCAAAGCUAUUAUUUUGCCCAUAUGUGAUUUGUAAAGUGCAAGAUUUGAUUUCAUGUCUUGAGUACUUAUGGUUUUGUACAGUGCAAACUUAAGCUUAUUGAUCCAAUUGGGUAGAACAAUAUACUCAACCAAUUUCAUAUCCUCUUGGCCAAAGGAGAGUAUAAUACUUGCCACUGAGAAAAAUA